CUUGAAUCUACAAUGUUAAAUUAUUAAUUUAAUUUUUGUAUGGAUUGUGAAAAUUCUUGCGUGUAACCCAUGGCCAGUUGCAGGAUAACAUUGUUCAUUUAGGGAAGAUCUUUAUGGUUAUGGCAAAACCUUUCAUCAUCAGCCGAUGGUAUAAUGGACUACCAGUUGGAUGAUACACAGUCGUCUGAAACAUGAUAUAUACUUCUCCUCAUCCGUGUCCAUGGGUGAGUGGAGGGAGCAGCUUUCUUCCAGGAGAGUGUUUUACUGGAAGAGGGGGAAGAUCUUCAUGGUUAAAAGUCUGUCAGAGCUGUGUUACAAGUGCUGGGUUGGCAUGCAGCAAUGUACAUGGCCCAUAUGCUGACACAGUACCAGUUUUGUUUCCAAAAGUGGAGUUCACAGAAUUACAGUGUCUGAUCCAACUAGCUGCUCUGAUGAUCCUCACUGGACCAUGUGUCAGUGGCACAACUGUUCCAUUGCAGAAAAUUUUAUAAUGGAUGCUGAAUUUCAGGAUACCUGAAAAUACCUGCGCAGUUUUGAUGUGGAAGGAAAACAAUAAAGAAAGUGUCUAAAAUGAUAUGGUUAGCUUC
rnacentral:lncRNA from 1 species